UGCCAGCAGCCGCGGUAAUACGGAGGGUGCAAGCGUUGUUCGGAUUUACUGGGCGUAAAGAGCGCGUAGGCGGCUUCAUAAGUUAAGGGUGAAAUCCCGGGGCUUAACUCCGGAACUGCUCUUAAAACUGUGGAGCUAGAGACAAUCAGAGGUGGGUGGAAUUCCAGGUGUAGAGGUGAAAUUCGUAGAUAUCGGAAGGAACACCGGUGGCGAAGGCGACUUCCUGGGCCAAUACUGACGCUGAGGCGCGAAAGCGUGGGUAGCAAACAGGAUUAGAUA
rnacentral:rRNA from 1 species